UGCGUGAGGGUAGAUUCGAACUACCGACCUUUAGCUUAUGAGGCUAACGAGCUGACCACUGCUCUACUCCGC
rnacentral:tRNA from 1 species